AAAACGGAUUUUAUAAAAUCCACCCUUUCCACAAAGACCCAUGGAU
rnacentral:sRNA from 1 species